rnacentral:rRNA from 1 species
AACGAACGUUAGCGGCGCGCCUAACACAUGCAAGUCGAGCGAGAAAGGGAGCAAUCCCCGGUACAGCGGCGCACGGGUGAGUAACACGUAGGUAACCAACCUCCGAGUGGUGGAUAACCUUCCGAAAGGAGGGCUAAUACAGCAUAAGCCCACGAUUCCGAGAGGAGUUGAGGGAAAAGCCGGCCAAUCCAUGGAAGCUGGCGCUUGGAGACGGGCCUGCGGCCCAUCAGCUAGUUGGUGAGGUAAUGGCUCACCAAGGCAAAGACGGGUAGCUGGUCUGAGAGGAUGAUCAGCCACACUGGAACUGAGACACGGUCCAGACUCCUACGGGAGGCAGCAGUGGGGAAUCUUGCGCAAUGGGCGAAAGCCUGACGCAGCGACGCCGCGUGGGUGAUGAAGGCCUUCGGGUUGUAAAGCCCUGUGGAGGGGGCGAAUAAGUCAUGGCUAAUAUCCAUGAUGAUGACGGUACCCCUUUAGCAAGCACCGGCUAACUCUGUG